rnacentral:tRNA from 42 species
GCGCCCAUCGUCUAGCGGUUAGGACAUCGCCCUUUCACGGCGGAAACAGGGGUUCGAUUCCCCUUGGGCGUACCA